AAGAGGAAGAUGGUCAUCAUCAUCUUUCUUUUAACCGUAUCACCAAAAGAAAAAGGAGAGAGAAUUUGCAUGUUGAAGGAAACAAAGGAUUUAGCUUGUUUAAGAGUUGUAUCCUCAAGCUCGGUAAUUUUUCUAACAAGGAGGUAGAAGGUCUAAGCAGCCAAGGGAAUGCCAGAAUUGUGUAGAUAGAUUUUAUCUUGGGGAAUUUUCUUGUGAGUUUCUUUAAACUCGUAUUGUUAUUUUUAUGCAAAAAAAAAAAAGAAGUUCUAUUAAAUUAGCAUUGAUGUUUCGGUUUUGAUUUAAUGGUUGAAAAUGUUUACUGCCUAGUAUUAGUUAGAUUCGUUUAUUGUAAAAAUUAAUGCUGUCCGAAAUUUGAACAAAUUAAUGGUUCUAUUUUCAUGACGAUUGGGGGCUGUAAAGACAGUCCCAUUCGUUGCAUUAUGCUGUCCAGUUUUAGGACCAAUUAAUUGAGUUAUUACAGGAUUAAAAAGCAUGGAUUUUUGCUGUCUUGUGCUGUCCAAAAUAGGACAAAUUGAAUGUGUUUGUGAGUGAGUUUUUCAAAGGAAACUUUGUAAAUUCUCAUGUUUAAAUUCUGAUGUUUGCAUGCAGGUAAGUUACGGUUAUAGGGGUUGAGUGUAGUAGCUAAAAUAUUAUGUUAUUCUUACUAAGUUUCGGUUGUUAGUAGUGAAGUAAAAAUUGGACAAGUAAAUGCUUAAAUGACUGCUGGAAACUGCAGCUUGAAAACCCAUUGUUUCAGCAUGUAAAUGCUGAUUUGAAUAUGUUGUAAUAUGUGGAGGAAUUGGUCUGCCGCAUGUUUGAAAUAAAAGAAAACGAUAGUUGUUAAAUAUUAGUUUUUGUUGCUGAUCGAAUGAGUUAAAUUCAUUGUUCAAGGGGCUGUAAAUUGGUGUUAAUUAAGCUGUUCGGAUGGGUGUAAUAAAACAGUCUGAAUGUGAUGUUAUUAAGCUGAUUUAAUGUUGAAGAUUUGUUGAUGUCCAGAGCAUAAGUUAAAGCUAUAUAAAACUGAACCUUUGUAAUCCGAA